AACGAAAGCUGAGUAGUUCGCUGCUCAACCUUCCACCCUUUGAAAACAAACUUUAGUUGCUUUGGCGGGGCGUGACCCAGUCCCGUUGGCUUAGGCUGACGUGUCCCCGCCGGAGAACCCCAAAACUCAAUUUAAACUAUGGAAAUCUGAAUUAAAUUUAAUAGCGAUA
rnacentral:misc_RNA from 1 species